GACGAACGCUGGCGGCGUGCCUAAUACAUGCAAGUCGAACGCUUCUUUCCUCCCGAGUGCUUGCACUCAAUUGGAAAGAGGAGGGGCGGACGGGGGAGUAACACGUGGGUAACCUACCCAUCAGAGGGGGAUAACACUUGGAAACAGGUGCUAAUACCGCAUAACAGUUUAUGCCGCAUGGCAUAAGAGUGAAAGGCGCUUUCGGGGGUCGCUGAUGGAUGGACCCGCGGUGCAUUAGCUAGUUGGUGAGGUAACGGCUCACCAAGGCCACGAUGCAUAGCCGACCUGAGAGGGUGAUCGGCCACACUGGAACUGAGACACGGCCCAGACUCCUACGGGAGGCAGCAGUAGGGAAUCUUCCGCAAUGGACGAAAGUCUGACCGAGCAACGCCGCGUGAGUGAAGAAGGUUUUCGGAUCGUAAAACUCUGUUGUUAGGGAAGAACAAGGGCGUUAGUAACUGAACGUCCCCUGACGGUAUCUAAUCAGAAAGACACGGCUAACUACGUG
rnacentral:rRNA from 1 species